CACAGAGAAGUAGAGAAAGAAUACAAUGAAGAAGGUUAAUGUUACUCAAAUUACAGAACAAUAUUUGAUCACUUAACAGUUUAGCUUCAUAUAGUCAGGUUUUGAUAUAUCCCUUUCUGAGAUUUAUCAGGAUAUUCAAUCAUUACAAUAAACAAGUAGUAGUGUAAUGGCAAAAAUUACAUUUAAGCAUGAUUCUCUAUAUUAUUCGUAUAAUUUCUGUUUGUGUUUCUCUCACAAUGCUGGAAGAGAAUUUAUCUCAUUCCCACAUGUAGAUUCCGUACACAAAGUCUGGAGACGAAUGCGUACAGGCCUUGUUUGAACCGAUAAAGGUACAAGGUCACAGUAAACUAUCUUUCUGUGAAGAUCCAGUUUUUCCUAGGCCAGU